rnacentral:rRNA from 1 species
GUAGGUGGCAAGCGUUGUCCGGAAUUAUUGGGCGUAAAGCGCGCGCAGGGGUGGUUCUUUAAGUCUGAUGUGAAAGCCCCCGGGCUCAACCGGGGGGGGUCAUUGGAAACUGGGGAACUUGAGUGCAGGAGAGGAAAGUGGAAUUCCACGUGUAGCGGUGAAAUGCGUAGAUAUGUGGAGGAACACCAGUGGCGAAGGCGACUUUCUGGCCUGUAACUGACACUGAGGCGCGAAAGCGUGGGGAGCAAACAGGAUUAGAUACCCUGGUAGUCCACGCCGUAAACGAUGAGUGCUAAGUGUUGGGGGGUUUCCGCCCCUCAGUGCUGCAGCUAACGCAUUAAGCACUCCGCCUGGGGAGUACGGUCGCAAGACUG